UCUGCAGGCGGGCAAUUAAGUCAGAGGUGAAAUCCCACAGCUCAACUGUGGAACUGCCUUUGAUACUGGUUGUCUUGAGUUAUAGUGAAGUAGAUAGAAUAUGUAGUGUAGCGGUGAAAUGCAUAGAUAUUACAUAGAAUACCGAUUGCGAAGGCAGUCUACUAACUGUAUACUGACGCUGAUGGACGAAAGCGUGGGGAGCGAACAGGAUUAGAUACCCUGGUAGUC
rnacentral:rRNA from 1 species